rnacentral:lncRNA from 1 species
GUCUUCUUCUAGGAGGACUCUCAGCUGAUGUUGGUUUUCUUCAGUCUGCAUAAGCGAUGGACAAGCUGUUACUACCCUUUAGAUUUUGGGUGGUCCGGGAGGACCAUCCCAAGUUCGAGGAAAGUUGGCAAUGGAAAAAGGAGCAUCUGAUAGGAGCAGUCAGUGAAGUUCUUGGAAUAUCAAGGUAUCAAGCUCCUUCAGAAGUUGAUAAGAAGUGGGGUGUGACCUGGACGUAGCCACUGUGGAAAGGAUCCCACUGCCCCGCCUUGGGGACAGUGGCAGGAAUCUGCAUUUGAAUGGAUAAAAACCACAAUUUAAUUUGGAACAAACCUGGAUGGAAGAAACAUACUAAGGAAAAAAAAUGAACAAGAAGUAAGGGGGUGGGGAAAGAAUCAUCCUGUGGAAAAUUUAGUCACAAAUUGGAUUUUCUUUUUUCUGGUACUUUAAUUUGCUCCUUCCAUGCUUUCGUUAUUUGACUUAAAAAAAAGCAAAAACCUUUAACUGGUAAUAAUAUUGCCUACAAGUUAAGUAUUCCCUUUUAACAGUAUCAAUCAUAAUGGCAGCUACACUGUAGCUAUUUUAUUAGCAAAUUAAGUAAUUUCCAAUCAAUCAAAAUGAAUUUCUUUUCCAACAGCUAUUUUAUUAUCUUCGUAUGUUUUCUUUGCAGAGCUUCUAAAAUGUUUUUGCCCCUAAUCAAAGAGAUUAACGUGUAUUUUCUCCUCUCUCUUUCUUUCUCUCCCUCCCCCUUGCUCUAUUACUGAAAAGAAACAUUCUCAAAUGCCUUAACCUUUGGGUCUCAAUAAUGAAUAAAAGGAUAUAUUAUGUAUUAUCAAGAAUAGCCUUUUCUAAAAAUGUAAUGUGG